UUGCAUAUCCAAAAAGCGGAGGAAAAGAAACCAACAGGGAUUGCCCUAGUAACGGCGAGUGAAGCGGCAACAGCUCAAAUUUGAAAUCUGGCCUCUUUUGGAGGUCCGAGUUGUAAUUUGCAGAGGGCGCUUUGGAGUCGGCAGCGGUCCAAGUUCCUUGGAACAGGACGUCACAGAGGGUGAGAAUCCCGUACGUGGUCGCUAGCCUUCUCCGUGUAAAGCCCCUUCGACGAGUCGAGUUGUUUGGGAAUGCAGCUCUAAAUGGGAGGUAAAUUUCUUCUAAAGCUAAAUAUUGGCCAGAGACCGAUAGCGCACAAGUAGAGUGAUCGAAAGAUGAAAAGCACUUUGGAAAGAGAGUCAAAAAGCACGUGAAAUUGUUGAAAGGGAAGCGCUUGCAGCCAGACUUGCCUGUAGUUGCUCAUCCGGGCUUUUGCCCGGUGCACUCUUCUAUAGGCAGGCCAGCAUCAGUUUGGGCGGUUGGAUAAAGGUCUCUGUCAUGUACCUCUCUUCGGGGAGAACUCUAUAGGGGAGACGCCAUGCAACCAGCUCAGACUGAGGUCCGCGCAUUCGCUAGGAUGCUGGCGUAAUGGCUGUAAGCGGCCCGUCUUGAAACACGGACCCAA
rnacentral:rRNA from 1 species